ensembl:misc_RNA Metazoa_SRP Metazoan signal recognition particle RNA
ACUGGGUGUGGUGGCACAUGCCUGUAGUCCCAGCUACUUGGGAGACUGAGGUAGGAGGAUUGCUUGAGCCCAGGAGUUCUGGGCUGUAAUGCACUAUGCUGAUCAGGUGUCCACACUAAGUUCGACAUCAAUAUGGUGACCUGGGAUCAGGGACCACUAGAUUGCCUAAGGAGGGGUGAACCAGCCCAGGUUGGAAAUGGAGCAGGUCAAAAUUCCUGUGUGGAUCAGUAGUGGGAUGACGCCUGUGAAUAACCAAUGCACUCCAGCCUGGGCAACAUAGCAAGAUCCCAUCUCUA